rnacentral:ncRNA from 1 species
CUAGUCUCGGCAGGUCGUUGCCAAUUCAACGACCGGUUUUGACAGGCCGCAUC